rnacentral:rRNA from 1 species
GGAGGAAAGUAGGGGAUCGAAAGACCUCAUGCUUUUGGAGCGGCCGAUGUCUGAUUAGCUAGUUGGUACGGUAAUGGCUUACCAAGGCAACGAUCAGUAGUUGGUCUGAGAGGACGACCAGCCACACUGGGACUGAGACACGGCCCAGACUCCUACGGGAGGCAGCAGUGGGGAAUUUUGGACAAUGGGCGCAAGCCUGAUCCAGCAAUGCCGCGUGAGUGAAGAAGGCCUUCGGGUUGUAAAGCUCUUUCAGUUGAGAAGAAAAGAUUGUGACUAAUAAUUGCAAUUCAUGACGGUAUCAACAGAAGAAGCACCGGCUAACUACGUGCCAGCAGCCGCGGUAAUACGUAGGGUGCGAGCGUUAAUCGGAAUUACUGGGCGUAAAGGGUGCGCAGGCGGUUCUGUAAGUCAGAUGUGAAAUCCCCGGGCUUAACCUAGGAACUGCGUUUGAAACUACAAAGCUAGA